GAUGAACGCUGGCGGCGUGCCUAAUACAUGCAAGUCGAGCGAACAGACGAGGAGCUAGCUCCUCUUACGUUAGCGGCGGACGGGUGAGUAACACGUGGAUAACCUACCUAUAAGACUGGGAUAACUUCGGGAAACCGGAGCUAAUACCGGAUAAUAUAUUUAACCGCAUGGUUCAAUAGUGAAAGACGGUUUUGCUGUCACUUAUAGAUGUAUCCGCGCCGCAUUAGCUAGUUGGUAAGGUAACGGCUUACCAAGGCAACGAUGGGUAGCCGACCUGAGAGGGUGACCGGCCACACUGGAACUGAGACACGGUCAAGACUCCUACGGGAGGAAGCAGUAGGGAAUCUUCCGCAAAGGGCGAAAGCCUGACGGAGAAACGCCGCGUGAGUGAUGAAGGUCUUCGGAUCGUAAAACUCUGUUAUUAGGGAAGAACAAAUGUGUAAGUAACUAUGCAAGUAUUGACGGUACCUAAUCAGAAAGCCACGGCUAACUACGUG
rnacentral:rRNA from 1 species